rnacentral:rRNA from 1 species
UACGUAGGUGGCAAGCGUUGUCCGGAUUUACUGGGCGUAAAGAGCGCGCAGGCGGUCGUUCAAGUCGCGUGUGAAAGCCCCCGGCUCAACUGGGGAGGGUCACGCGAUACUGAUCGACUCGAAGGCAGGAGAGGGUAGUGGAAUUCCCGGUGUAGUGGUGAAAUGCGUAGAUAUCGGGAGGAACACCAGUGGCGAAGGCGACUACCUGGCCUGUUUCUGACGCUGAGGAGCGAAAGCUAGGGGAGCAAACAGG